rnacentral:rRNA from 1 species
CUUACCCUGAAUACAAUAGGGGUAAAGUGGCGAACGCGGGGAACUGAAACAUCUAAGUACCCGUAGGAAAGGACAUCAACCGAGACUCCGGAAGUAGUGGCGAGCGAACCCGGACCAGGCCAGUGGCGAUUGAGAGACAAGCGGAACCUUCUGGAAAGUAGGGCCAUAGUGGGUGACAGCCCCGUACGCGUAAUGCAAUCAAUCGUCCUCGAGUAAGGCGGGACACGUGAAAUCCUGUCUGAAAUUGGGGGGACCACCCUCCAAGCCUAAGUACUCGUGCAUGACCGAUAGCGAACUAGUACCGUGAGGGAAAGGUGAAAAGAACCCCGGGAGGGGAGUGAAAGAGAAUCUGAAAUCGAGUGCUUACAAACAGUUGGAGCUCUAUAUUCUUUCACAAAAGCAAUUUUGUGAUUAACGUAUAUUAGAGUGACAGCGUACCUUUUGCAUAAUGGGUCAGCGAGUUAAUCUAUGAAGCAAGCUUAAGCCGUUAGGUGUAGGCAUAGCGAAAGCAAGUCUGAAUAGGGCGUUAGUUUUAUGGAUUAGACCCGAAACCAAGUGAUCUAGUCAUGACCAGAUUGAAGGUGUGGUAAAACACACUGGAGGAUCGAACCAGUUAAUGUUGCAACAUCAUUGGAUGAGUUGUGAUUAGGGGUGAAAGGCCAAUCAAACUUGGAAAUAGCUGGUUCUCCGCGAAAUCUAUUUAGGUAGAGCGUUGUAUGUAUGUUAUCGGGGGUAGAGCACUGGAUAGACUAGGGGGAUUCACCGUCUUACCAAAUCUAACUAAACUCCGAAUACCGAUGAUUAAUUAUACAGCAGACACACUGCGGGUGCUAAGUCCGUGGUGAAAAGGGAAACAACCCAGAUCACUAUCUAAGGUCCCAAAAUUACAGCUAAGUGGGGAAGGAAGUAGAAAAACCAUUACAGCUAGGAGGUUGGCUUGGAAGCAGCCAUCCUUUAAAGAAAGCGUAACAGCUCACUUGUCUAAAUAAGUUUUUCUGCGCUGAAAAUUUACCGGGGCUAAAGCUGUAUACCGAAGAUGUGGGUGCUUAUUGAUUUCGAUCGAUAGGCGCGGUAGCGGAGCGUUCCGUAAGUCUGUGAAGGUGGUUUGUGAAAACUGCUGGAGAUAUCGGAAGUGAGAAUGCUGACAUAAGUAGCGUAAAAGAGUGUGAAAAACACUCUCACCGAAAAUCUAAGGGUUCCUACGUUAAGUUAAUCUGCGUAGGGUUAGUCGGUUCCUAAGGCGAGUCCGUAAAGGAGUAGUCGAUGGCAAUCAGGUUAAUAUUCCUGAACCUCGUAAGUGUGACGGAUUUUGUAUUUGUAUAGACCUUAUUGGAUUGGUUUAUGCUUAAAAGAAGUCCCAGGAAAUAGCACUUAUAUUUAUGAGGCCGUACCGUAAACCGACACUGGUGGAUGAGUAGAGUAUACUAAGGUGUUGAAAGAAUGAUGUUGAAGGAACUCGGCAAAUUAUACCUGUAACUUCGGAAGAAGGGUAACCUGUUUUUAGGCAACUAUUAGCAGGUGGCACAAAAUAGGGAGUAGCGACUGUUUACUAAAAACACAGGACUCUGCAAACACGUAAGUGGAAGUAUAGGGUCUGACGCCUGCCCGGUGCUGGAAGGUUAAUAGGAAGGGUGCAAGCUCCGAAUUGAAGCCCCAGUAAACGGCGGCCGUAACACUGACGGUCCUAAGGUAGCGAAAUUCCUUGUCGGGUAAGUUCCGACCCGCACGAAUGGCGUAACGAUUUCUCCACUGUCUCCAACAUCAAUUCAGCGAAAUUGAAUUCCCCGUGCAGAUGCGGGGUACCCGCGGUUAGACGAAGAGACCCCGUGCACCUUUACUAUA